rnacentral:rRNA from 1 species
GAUGAACGCUGGCGGCGUGCCUAAUACAUGCCAGUCGAGCGAACAGACGAGGAGCUUGCUCCUCUGACGUUAGCGGCGGACGGGUGAGUAACACGUGGAUAACCUACCUAUAAGACUGGGAUAACUUCGGGAAACCGGAGCUAAUACCGGAUAAUAUAUUGAACCGCAUGGUUCAAUAGUGAAAGACGGUUUUGCUGUCACUUAUAGAUGGAUCCGCGCCGCAUUAGCUAGUUGGUAGGGUAACGGCUUACCAAGGCGACGAUGCGUAGCCGACCUGAGAGGGUGAUCGGCCACACUGGAACUGAGACACGGUCCAGACUCCUACGGGAGGCAGCAGUAGGGAAUCUUCCGCAAUGGGCGAAAGCCUGACGGAGCAACGCCGCGUGAGUGAUGAAGGUCUUCGGAUCGUAAAACUCUGUUAUUAGGGAAGAACAAAUGUGUAAGUAACUAUGCACGUCUUGACGGUACCUAAUCAGAAAGCCACGGCUAACUACGUG